UGCAAUCUAUGAUGCAAACUACCCAAAUCCCUGACCUUCUAUGAUUAUAUAAUCAAAUAUCACCAUCUUUCGGCUGAGGUUGCA